GACGUAGGGAGCGAGCGUUGUCCGGAUUCAUUGGGCGUAAAGCGCGCGUAGGCGGUCGUGCAAGUCGGUUGUGAAAACCCGGGGCUCAACCCCGGGCCUGCGUCCGAUACUGCACGACUAGAGGCAGGUAGGGGAGAUCGGAAUUCCUGGUGUAGCGGUGAAAUGCGCAGAUAUCAGGAGGAACACCGGUGGCGAAGGCGGAUCUCUGGGCCUUGCCUGACGCUGAGGCGCGAAAGCUAGGGGAG
rnacentral:rRNA from 1 species